GUGGGUGUAGCUCAGUUGGCAGAGCGGAAGAUUGUGGCUCUUCAGGCCGCGGGUUCAAAUCCCGUCACUCACCCCA
rnacentral:tRNA from 1 species